rnacentral:rRNA from 1 species
UACGUAGGGUGCGAGCGUUGUCCGGAUUUAUUGGGUUUAAAGGGUGCGUAGGCGGCCUUUUAAGUCAGUGGUGAAAGCCCAUAGCUCAACUAUGGAACUGCCAUUGAUACUGAAAGGCUUGAGUACAGACGAGGUUGGCGGAAUGGAUGGUGUAGCGGUGAAAUGCAUAGAUAUCAGGAGGAACACCGGUGGUGUAAACGCUUUCUGGACCAUAACUGACACUGAGGCACGAAAGCGUGGGGAGCAAACAGG